UAAUAAUUUUAUUUUAUUUAUUAAAUUUUUGGGGGUAUUAAUUAAUUUAAUUAUAAGAAAAAUAAUUUAAUAAUUGUUAGUUUAAGUAUUUUUUAAAGAAAAAAUAUAUUUAAUUAUAGAGUAUAAGUAUUGAAAAAGAAAAUUGAAAUAAUUUGAAAAAUAAAAAUUUUUAAAGAAGAUUUUAUUUAUUGUACCUUGUGUGUCAGGGUUUAUUUAAUAAAAAUUAAGUAUUUAUUUUUCUCGAAAUUAAAAGAUUUAUUUAUUUAUAAUAAUUUAAUAUUAUAUAAUUAUUUUUAAUUAAUAAAUAGAAAUGAAAUGUUAUUCGUUUUUAAUAAUUUCUAGUUUUUUUAGAAAAAAAUUUAAUUUUUUUUAAUAAUUUAAAAUUAAAUAAUUUUUAUUUAUUUUUUUUUAUUAAUUUUAUAGUAAAAGGGAUAAGCUUUUUAUUAAAUUUUUAAAUUUAAGGUUUAUUUUUUAAAUAUAGGCUUAAUAAUGGCUAUUAAUAAUAAAUUUAUUAUAAUUUAUUUUUUUUUUUAUUUAUUAUUUAAUUUUGAAAUUAAAUUUUUAUAAAAAUAUUAAAAUUAAUCAAAAAUUUUAAUUAAUAAUGAUAAAAUUAGUAUAAAUUAAAAUUUAGUAAUUUUAUAAUUUGAAAAUUUUAUUUGAAGAAUUCGGCAAAAUUUUUAUUUACCUGUUUAACAAAAACAUGUCCUUUUGAAUUUUUUUUAAGGUCUAAUCUGCCCACUGAUUUAUAUUAUUAAAGGGCCGCGGUAUUUUGACCGUGCAAAGGUAGCAUAAUCAUUAGUCUUUUAAUUGAAGGCUUGUAUGAAUGAUUGAAUAAAAUAAAGACUGUUUUUAAUAAAAAUUUUUUAUAACUUUAUUUUUUAGUUAAAAAGCUAAAAUUUAUUAAAAAGACGAGAAGACCCUAUAGAUCUUUAUUUAUAUUUAAAAAAUUUAUUAAUAGAAAGAUUUUUAAUUUUUUUAAAUUUAAAUUUUAUUGGGGUGAUAAUAAAAUUUAAUUAACUUUUAUAUUUUUUUUUCAAAUAUUUUUGAUUUUUUUUGAUCUUAUUUUAUAGAUUAAAAAAUUAAGUUACCUUAGGGAUAACAGCAUAAUUUUUUUUGAGAGUUCUUAUCGACAAAAAAGAUUGUGACCUCGAUGUUGAAUUAAGAGUAAAUUUAGGUGUAGAAGUUUAAAUUUUAAGUCUGUUCGACUUUUAAAUUCUUACAUGAUUUGAGUUCAAAUCGGCGUAAGCCAGAUUGGUUUCUAUCUUUUAAAAAAUAAAAUAUUUUAGUACGAAAGGAUCAAAUAUUUUAAAUAAUUUUAUUUGUUAAUAGUUGAUUAUUAUUAAAUUAUUUG
rnacentral:rRNA from 1 species